rnacentral:rRNA from 1 species
AUUGAACGCUGGCGGCAGGCUUAACACAUGCAAGUCGAGCGAGCGGCGGACGGGUGAGUAAUGUCUGGGAAACUGCCUGAUGGAGGGGGAUAACUACUGGAACCGGUAGUUAAUACCGCAUACCAUCAGAUGUUCCCAGAUGGGAUUAGCUAGGAGGUGGGGUAAUGGCUCACCUGGGCGACGAUCCCUAGCUGGUCGGAGAGGAUGGCGGGCCACACUGGAGGUGAGACACGGUCCAGGCUCCGACGGUAGGCAGCAGAGGUGAAUGGUGCGCAAUGGGGGCGAGCCUGAUACAACCAGGCCACGUGUGUUAAGGAGACCUUGGGGGGGUAAAGUACUUUCAGCGGGGAGACGGUACCCGCAGAAGAAGCACCGGCUAACUCCGUGCCAGCCGCCGCGGUAAUUC